UACGAAGGGGGCUAGCGUUGUUCGGAUUUACUGGGCGUAAAGCGCACGUAGGCGGUUUGUUAAGUCAGAGGUGAAAUCCCGGAGCUCAACUUCGGAACUGCCUUUGAUACUGGCAAGCUAGAGUCCGGAAGAGGUAAGUGGAACUCCUAGUGUAGAGGUGGAAUUCGUAGAUAUUAGGAAGAACACCAGUGGCGAAGGCGGCUUACUGGUCCGGAACUGACGCUGAGGUGCGAAAGCGUGGGGAGCAAACAGG
rnacentral:rRNA from 1 species